AACAUGACUGCAAGAGAAGAUAAUAUCAAGAUCUGCUUGUGCAAAGGUGAAAUCCAAAAUCUAUUUGCCUUUGGAUGAUGAACUCAAAUUUUGAAGAAAUAUCUGCAAAAUGCUUGGCUAUCAUUAUCAGAUGUGAAAUACCACUGAUUCUAAAAACUGAAAAGUAAUAAGGGAUUUUUGAGUGCCCUGUGUCCCAUUGGAGAAUGAGGGAGAAGAAAAGCCAUCUUCUCGCUCAAGUUGGUUUGAAAAUCUUAGCUUAAAACAGAAGGCAUAAUCGUGAACUCUCCAAGACAAGCAUUUGUUUUUGUCACAUGGAAGUGUUCUGGAUUCACAAUUGCUGCUUUCUCUCUCUCUCUCUGUCUCUCUUUUUCCUCUUUUUUAUUUAUUUUUUUUUUCCUCUGAAGCAUCUCUAAGAAUCAACAUUCUGUGAAAUGCCUGGUCGUUUCUUGUUACAAAUUUUAAAUCCUGAAAGAUUCAAGUUUGUUGUAUUUAUACAUACUUAGCAUUGAGAUCUUUAAUUUGGAUAAGGUUUCUUUGCAUUUUGGUGACACAGAUGUUUGCUUCCAAUACUACUACUAUGGCAGGAAAAAAUAUCACUAUUUGUUCCCCAUGUUGUUGUUGUUUGUCAGACAAGGAUAAAUUUAUUAUAUUUACUUACACUGAAAUUUUUUUGCCCAGAGUAACAUCUUUGUGGUUUUUAGUCAUGCAGGUAUUAUAUCAUGUAGGGAGAAUGAAUGUUUGGAAAAAUCCUUAGAUUUAUUCUGAGGAAACAAGGCUUGUAUGGUUUCACUGCUGAUAAAUAUUCUUAGUUCAGUCUGUCUCUGUCUUGCUCCUAAAUUUGACUGGAUUAAAGAUUACAAAGAUACUGGUUUAGUGAAAAUUGGCAGGUUGGUGAAUUAGCAGCUCCACAGAGGGAAAGGUGGGCAGAUGGAGCAUCUUAUCAUUUCUGAGUCUGCGAGUAUUUUGAUCUUUCAUUGUGCAUUUACUGGCCAACUCAUCAGUACAUGUGUAGCUUGUGGUUAAGUACAGUAUGUGCUGCCACUUGCCCAGACAAAUAGGUAACAGGUCUGUGGGAGGAUAUUGGGCUGGGGAUGAGUACUACAGAAAGGAAAGUAGUGAAAAUCAGACUGGAUUCAGCUGGAAGUAGCAGGGGUAGGGAAGGGACAGAUCAGGAAGUGGGUAUUCAAAUUCAGUCCACCUCCCUGUUUAAAUAAAGUGAAAAGUAACUUUUAGUGAAAGUAUAAGGACAACAUACUGCACACUAGAAGCUCAGUGAUAUUCAUAGUGGGGUCACAGCCAGAAUAAGGUUGCCUUAGCUAAAUAAGGCUAGAUUGAAUGUUCCCUUAAUUUCUUUAAUAUAGUGAGAUCUUUGGAUGGUAAGAAGCCAGCUUUCCACUCAUUGUCUCUGUAUCAUCUCUGGUAUAUCAGAACCCUUUCUAAAGGGAAUGAUGGAAUCUCAGAGCAUAUUACUGGUUUGAGUUCAUUAGUUGUAUAGAAAUAAUUGUUUCAGGUCUUCAUAUGCAGCUGUAAUGUAGAUUAGUUGCAGAAAAAUAAUUUGGGGGAACAGCUUAUACUUUUGGGUAGCCUUUCUUUCUGCAGGUAAAAAGUCAUCUAUUCUGUAAGCAGACACAUUCUUUUGACUUAAGUGACUACACAUACUCAUACAAUGAAUAAUUUUCCAUAUUAGGACUUAGGAUUUCAAAGGAUAUAGAAUCUAAUUUUACCUAAUAAGAAAACAUAAACUUGAAUAAGCAACUGAAAUAAAAUAUCUGUUUUGAGAAGGGUACUGUACGUAUGCUUUUGAUACUCUAUCAAACUGCAUUUUUGGUGGUUUCAUCUCUGUAUUUUGUGGUUAUGGCUUGCUGGUGGGCUGUUCAUUUACACCAUGAAACAGCUUAUAAACUAGCUUUUCAUUUUAUUGCCUUAAAUGAGCUGGGUUUCAAACUCUGCAGAUAAUUAGAUGAUCACUAGAAAAAUAUAUUGUUUCUUUUCUGAGUUUUUAGUCACUUUUAAGAUAUGUAGUGUAUACUCAAAAGUAAACAUGUAUCAAUGUGUAAGCAGCACAGCUGCACUUUGUAGGCAUAAUACAAUAAAAUAAAAUCUUUAAGUGGCUUUGAA